AUAGCACAACAACCAGUGACUAUUCAGCUCACCUAUAAACUACUUUCUGCUUCCGCUCAACUUCCCAAGUUGUCAGUCACCGUUGCCGCCUAAGCGCUAUAAAAUCCUCGCCGGAGCCACUCCGUUUUCUUACCGGAUUUCAAUUUUCCGGUGAGGAUAGAGAGAGCGAAAGAGAUCGAGUGCUGAAUUUUCUAAGUGAGAGUUGUAGACUAAAUGGCUGUAAGGAAGGCUGGCUUAAUUGCUUUGUUUGAUGUGGAUGGAACUCUUACAGCACCUCGCAAGGUAGUUACUCCAGAAAUGUUGGAGUUCAUGCGGGAACUCAGAAAGGUUGUCACUGUUGGAGUUGUUGGAGGUUCAGACCUUGUCAAGAUAUCAGAACAGCUUGGAAAGACAGGUUAGUUUAGCCAGAUUUCAGUGAGAGAUUUAUAGUUAA